rnacentral:rRNA from 1 species
UACGUAGGGGGCAAGCGUUAUCCGGAUUUACUGGGUGUAAAGGGGGCGCAGACGGCAGCGCAAGCCAGGAGUGAAAGCCCGGGGCCCAACCCCGGGACUGCUCUUGGAACUGCGCGGCUGGAGUGCAGGAGGGGCAGGCGGGAUUCCUGGUGUAGCGGUGAAAUGCGUAGAUAUCAGGAGGAACACCGGUGGCGAAGGCGGCCUGCUGGACUGCGACUGACGUUGAGGCCCGAAAGCGUGGGGAGCAAACAGG